rnacentral:rRNA from 1 species
AGUGAACGCUGGCGGUAGGCCUAACACAUGCAAGUCUAACGAGUGGCGGACAGGUGAGGAAUAAAUCGGAAUCUGCUCUGUCGUGGGGGAUAACGGCUGGAAACUUACGCUAAUACCGCAUACGAUUUCAUGUGCCGAUGUCGGAUUAGCUAGUGGGGGGGGUAAAGGCCCACCAAGGCGACGAUCCGUAGCUGGUCUGAGAGGAUGACCAGCCACACUGGAACUGAGACACGGUCCAGACCCCUACGGGAGGCAGCAGUGGGGAAUAUUGGACAAUGGGCGCAAGCCUGAUCCAGCCAUACCGCGUGGGGGAAGAAGGCCUGCGGGUUGUAAAGCCCUUUUGUUGGGAAAGCGGUACCCAAAGAAUGAGCACCGGCUAACUUCGUGCCAGCAGCCGCGGUAAUUC